UACAGAGGUCCCAAGCGUUGUCCGGAUUUACUGGGCGUAAAGAGCGUGUAGGCGGCCAAACAGGUCCGCUGUGAAAGUCAAAGGCUCAACCCUUUGAAUGUCAGCGGAUACUGCCGGGCUAGAGUCCGGAAGAGGCGAGUGGAAUUCCUGGUGUAGCGGUGGAAUGCGCAGAUAUCAGGAGGAACACCAACGGCGAAGGCAGCUCGCUGGGACGGUACUGACGCUGAGGCGACGAAAGCGUGGGGAGCGAACAGG
rnacentral:rRNA from 1 species